UACGUAGGGUGCGAGCGUUGUCCGGAAUUAUUGGGCGUAAAGAGCUCGUAGGCGGCCUGUCGCGUCGGAUGUGAAAGCCCGGGGCUUAACCCCGGGUCUGCAUUCGAUACGGGCAGGCUAGAGUUCGGUAGGGGAGAUCGGAAUUCCUGGUGUAGCGGUGAAAUGCGCAGAUAUCAGGAAGAACACCCGUGGCUAAGGCGGCUCUCUAGUACGGUACUGACGCUGAGACGCGAAAGCGUGGGGAGCAAACAGG
rnacentral:rRNA from 1 species